GACGAACGCUGGCGGCGUGCCUAAUACAUGCGAGUUGAGCGCUGAAGGUUGGUACUUGUACCGACUGGAUGAGCAGCGAACGGGUGAGUAACGCGUGGGGAAUCUGCCUUUGAGCGGGGGACAACAUUUGGAAACGAAUGCUAAUACCGCAUAAAAACUUUAAACACAAGUUUUAAGUUUGAAAGAUGCAAUUGCAUCACUCAAAGAUGAUCCCGCGUUGUAUUAGCUAGUUGGUGAGGUAAAGGCUCACCAAGGCGAUGAUACAUAGCCGACCUGAGAGGGUGAUCGGCCACAUUGGGACUGAGACACGGCCCAAACUCCUACGGGAGGCAGCAGUAGGGAAUCUUCGGCAAUGGACGAAAGUCUGACCGAGCAACGCCGCGUGAGUGAAGAAGGUUGUCGGAUCGUAAAACUCUGUUGGUAGAGAAGAACGUUGGUGAGAGUGGAAAGCUCAUCAAGUGACGGUAACUACCCAGAAAGGGACGGCUAACUACGUG
rnacentral:rRNA from 1 species